CAGGGCAUUCGGGUCAUCUUGGAGCUGGUCUGAGUAUUGUUAUUAAAUUGUCAUUUUUAAAACUGUUUAUCUUUCUUAUUUUCUCUUUCUCUCUCUAUUUUACUUUUUGUGGCCUCAGUUAUUCUCACUAUGUAGUUAAAUUCAUUAUGUUUGAAUGAAUGAGGUGAAUAUUGUGCUAUUUUCUUCUUAAAAAAAAAAACAACGUGUACUAAGAAUUCAACUAUAAAAGUUAGAAAAAUUACAACUAAGAUAUAAAAGGUUGGAGAGUGAAUGGCGCAAUUUAUAUUCCUUUUAAACCAGCUAGAAACGACUAUUAUUUACCUGCCAUACGGUUAAGUUAUAGAAACUUUCUAACACUUCCGAUUCACAUUUGGUGAAAUUGAGGCGGUUGUACCAGAUGUGACAUUAAAUCUCUCAUUGACUCUCCUAACUUAGAUGUUACAACUAUUCAAUCAAAUUGGAUCCAGUCGUUGUCAAAUUGGAACAGGAACUUCAGUUUAGUUUUCAUAUUGCUACUAUUGUUUUUCAGUCUCAACAAUUUUGUUGCCCUUCAGUUAUAUUGGUAUUGACUGAAUUAGGCUGAAAUACUAUCAAUAGUAUCAAGUUAUUGGUGCUAUUAGGUUUUUAGCUAUUCGAUUGAGAAAUGUGUGGCUAUCAUGAUGUGACCUCUCUAGGGUUGAGUGAGUGGUUAGUUGAAUAGUAUAAUCUAACGGGUAAUAAUAAUUAAAAUAGUUAAAUCUAACGGUAAAAAACUCGAUAGUACAAAAUUCUUGAUGCUAUUGAUAGUAUCCUAGCCAGACUUGUAUUAACUUGUAUUAUUGUUAGCUUUCUCAUAUACAUUACCAGAUUAAAAAAAAAAGAUAAAAAAUAAUUUUUUUUGACACUUUCUUCCGUCAAUCUCCUUUCUGGCAAAGACUUGAUAAUUGGUACUCAAUAUCUAAAAUUCGAAGUUUAACUACUUCACAUUUUUAAUUAAGCUUAUUUUUAAAAAAUAAAAGAAAUAAAGUAUGCUAAUUUUCUCUAAAAAAAAAAAGCAUCUUUUCUCCUUUAUAAAUUACAAAUCUUUUCACUCCAAAUACAAAUUUAUCAACGAUACUUCUCUCAAGGCAAUAGCAUAAGAGGCACUCAACCUAUUAGCAGUUUUUUUUCGGCCCUUAACUUUUGGGCUGUGUUUGGUUCGGAUAUAAGUAAGAACUGCGAGUUCCAGAGAUAGGUACAAGUUCAGAUAUGAGCAGGAACUAGACUAAUUUUACGUUUGGAUGAAAAUUGAGUUGUUUCUAGGAAUAAGGUAAAUAGUGUUUGGAUGGUUAGAUUGGAACAAGAGGAAUAAGAAUUAUAAUUUGAAAUUAAAAUUAUAUUAUGUAAUUAAUUAACAUCAAAAUAUUACUUAAAAAUAAAUAAUAAAUUAAUUAUUAAUAAUUAAUUAUAAAUUAAUUAUUAAUAAUUAAUUAUAAAUAAUAAAUUAAUAAUAAUAGCGAUUGUCUAAUUAAUAAUUAUUGAUAAUUAAUUAUAAAUAAUAAAUUAAUUAUAAUAAUUAUCUAAUUAUUAAAGCAAUAAAUAAUAAUUUAAAUAUAUUAUUAGAUUAAUUAAUAAUUUACUGCCAUUAAAAUUAAAUUUAGAUUUUAAUUAACUUUGUUCUUAUCACGAAACAAGCUUGUUACAGGAAAAGGUUGGAACAGCAGUUCCAGCCUUAUACCAGCUUAUUCUUGAAAUUCUGACCAAACAUCACGUUUGGGAAUAAAAGGGGGAAUAAGGGCUUAUUCCCUUCCCUGUUCCCAAACCAAACGCUACCUUGAAGUUUGAGCUG
rnacentral:lncRNA from 1 species